AUGAACGCUGGCGGCGUGCCUUAAGCAUGCAAGUCGGACGAAGAUAUGAGAUGUCGCAAGACAGAUUGUUGAUUAGUGGCGGACGGGUGAGUAUAAGCAGGGAACGUACCUUGAACUAUCGGAUAGCUCGUCGAAAGACGGGGUAAUACGGUAUGUGGACGCAAGUCUAAAGUCGCAAGACGGUUCUAGAGCGGCCCUGUUCCCAUCAGCUUGUUGGUAGGGUAACGGCCUACCAAGGCAAUGACGGGUAGCGGUUCUGAGAGGAUGAUCCGCCACACUGGUACUGAGACACGGACCAGACUCCUACGGGAGGCAGCAGUGAGGAAUAUUGCACAAUGGGGGGAACCCUGAUGCAGCAACGCCGCGUGGAGGAUGACGCAUUUCGGUGUGUAAACUCCUUUUAUAUGUCAAGAAAAUGACGGUAGCAUAUGAAUAAGCACCGGCUAACUCCGU
rnacentral:rRNA from 1 species